AGUCUGGCCUCCCCAAAAUGGCCAUUUUAGUUUAGACUAGACCUCAAAGUUCACCAGUCAGGAAGUGCCAUGCUGGGUCACCCACCAUCUGGUCUGGAAUGAAGCCAGGGAUCCCCAGGACUCUGCAGAUAGAUCCAAGCCUUCCAAUAACCAUCCUGCCACCAGCAGCCAAGGCGGCCCAGGAUGAUCGUUGUCUUAUGGAUGGUUCUCAUUGCAGGAACGAUGUGGAAGGGAUAUAAAUAUCCCCCAGGAGGGACCCCUCUGGAAGUAAACAAAGAUGACCCUGGUGAACCCAUGCAGCUGUGAAGAUCACCCAACUGCAAAGUUCCUGUUGUAGGUUUCGCAUAAAGUAAUCGCACAUUAGUCAUUCUGUGUAGUUACCACACUUUUUAAGAAGAACAAGAGCAAUAUCCUAACAGAGAAUGAGGACUCAGCUCAUUGUAGUGGGUCAAGUUAUCUACAUUCCCUGCAUGCAUGGGUGUGUCCGCUAAUCUCGGGACAUUCCUAAGGACUCAUCAUCAACCACCCAUCAGCCCCUGUACGUCUCUGUGUUGCUUGUACUGAGGCCAGAAUGCACUGGGUGUUCUCUAUCACUGCCUUGCUUCCAGGUAAGCUGUCUUUAGGAACUGGGGUCUUAUUUCCCAGACUUGGCUAGAAGCCAGCAAGCCCCAGUUCCUGUUCUGCCUUUCUUGGAGCUGGGCUUAACAUGUGGGUGUUGGGUGCUCAUCUGGUUGUGUGUGUGCUACAUGUUACUCCUGUCCUGGUGGUUGUCCAGCGAACAUGCUCAAACCACUAAGCCAUUUCUCCAGCUCCUCAUGCUCCUCUGUUAUAGGAAAUCUGAACUGGUAAUUCUGACAAGAGGAAUUAUAUAGCACUUCUACUGUUUCUUUUCCAUUUGAAUAAACCUUCAAAACCCUGAAUCAUAAAGCUAGAUUCCAUUGCUCUAACCACAUCCAGGUUUUUUGUUUUUUGUUUUUAAUUUUAUGUUUUGAGUGUUUUGCCUGCAUGCCUGGUACUGGUAGAGAUUAGAAGAGGGUGUCGGAGCCCCUGGGACUGGUAUUGAGUCACUGUGUGAGUGCUGAGAAUUGAAUUUGAGUCCUUCACAAGGGUAACAAGUACUCUUAACCACUGAGCUGACUCUCCAGCCCCUAUUUUCCGUUUUUUUUUUUUUAAACUUGGUGUCUGAGAACACAAUGGUAUUCCGACAGUGGAAAGGUGGAAGAGAAAUUAGUGGUAGGCUUAACAGAUCCAGGUACAUAAGAGGCAACAAGCAGGAGUGUGUCCAAGGGACAAGCCUGACCUUAGAACCUAAUAAGCCUACAGAGGUUGCUAGCUAGUACAGUGUUCCAGAUGAUAAGGAAUAACUUUAAGUUUUGAUCAAUAAAUGAAAACCAGUAAAAAUAUCAAUAAAAUAUUUUAAUGCCUACAA